CCAACAUGGGCUAAAUCAGUCACGGGGGUCCCCUGGGUGGACCACAGGGACUCGUUCACUGCUCCUCUCUCCCCUCCUCAGGGACAGGGGCAGCUGAGGCACAGCAGGCCGGCACUAAAGGCCCACUCUCUCCAAGAUCAUCCUCUCCUAGAGCUGCAGAGGUUGCCAUGGAGACAGACAAUCACAUUGGCCCACGAGUCAGCUCACACCCAGGACCUCAAAGGGUACCCUCUUGCAGUAAGCACUGCUGGCUGCCCACCCAACCGCCCUUACCCCCUUUUUUGCUCCUGGAACUCUUGUGUCACAGGCCAAUCCUGAUGAGUCUACGUUGGUGAAGUGUGAGCCUCCCAUUCUCCUUGCCAGUGAUUGGCUUACAGGUUCCCUUCAAAUUAAGUCAUCUCUUCUUCAAGGCUCAGUCAUAUAAAUUUCAAAGGACACGUGGCCAUGCUCCAUACCAGAAAGGUUUGAAGGAGGUUUAACAACCUCAAGAAACUCAGACAAUCAUCCAGUGCCUCGCCCAGCAGGAAAGUGCUGAAGCGGGUGGGGUGACUGGUCACCAAGCAAGGCUCAUGCGGAUGGGCAUCGAUAAAGACAUCGAUAAAGACGUGGUUACCAUGGCAACCAUCACUUCUAACUUCUUAUCAAACCACAUCCUGUGAACAUGAGGGAGCAGAGCCGAAGUGAGAGCCAGAGACCCUGCAUCCUUCCUUAUUCUACUCUUGCUACCAUUCCGCACCACUACCGUGCCUCAGUUUCCCCCAAUUUAAAGUGAGACAAUACUUCUUUACCUUUCAUCUGACCACGGACACUUGGGAAGCCAUGCCUAGAGGAGGCUUCACCCCUCAGUGAAAAGAGACCUCAGGGAGACCUUGUUCUCCCUGAGCCUUGUACAUUCAGAUUUUCUAGGAGUUGAACAGGUAAGAGGUACCUGAGUAAGAGGUAUAAUAUUAAUAAUUCUACCGCCUGCUCUAUGACUGUCCAUGUGAUGUUGGGCAAGUCAAUCUCUCUGAGCCUCAGUUUCUUUAUCUCUAAAAUGGGAAUAACUAUUUAUGCCCUCUCUACUUUACAGAGUUAUGGUGAGAGCUGUACAAGGUAAUGUUGUGGAAGCAUUCUGAAAGAUGUAAAAUCUCACAUAAAUGGAAGGAACAAAUAUUGCCUUCCAUUUAUACUCCCUCCUCUUAAGUUCCUCUAAAUCAAUUUAUAGAUGAAAACCCGUUAGCCUGAAGAGUUCCAGCACCACUGCUUUCCUUAGAAUACUGGUUCUCAAGCCAGGUGUGGUGGCUCACGCCUGUAAUCCCAGCACUUUGGGAGGCUGAGGUAGGUGGACUGCUUGAGGCCAGGAGUUCAAGACCAGCCUGGCCAACAUGGUGAAACCCCAUCUCUACUAAAAAUACAAAAAUCAGCUGGGUGUGGUGGUGUGUGCCUGUAGUCCCAGCUACUUGGGAGGCUGAGGCACGAGAAUUGCUUGAACCCAGGAGGCGGAGGUUGCAGUGAGGUGAGAUUGUGCCACUGUACUCCAGCCUGGGUGACAAGGCGAGACUCUCUCUCUCAAAAAAAAAAAAAAAAAAAAAGGCCAGGCACUGUGGCUCACGCCUGUAAUCCCAGCACUUUGGGAGGCUGAGGUGGGUGGAUCACAGAUCAGGAGAUUGAGACCAUCCUGGCUAACAUGGUGAAAUCCCGUCUCUACUAAAAAUACAAAAAAUUAGCCGGGCGUGGUAGCGGGCACACGUAGUCCCAUCUACUUGGGAGGCUGAGGCAGGAGAAUGGCGUGAACCUGGGAGGUGGAGCUUGCAGUGAGCCAAGAUCCUGCCACUGCACUCCAGCCUGGGUGACAGAGUGAGACUCCAUCUCAAAAAAAAAAAAAAAAAAAAAAAAAAAAAAAAAAAAAAAAAAAGAGAGAGAGGGAAGAAAACAAAGAAAGAAAGAAAAAAGAAUACUGGUUCUCAGUUGAGGCUGUGUAUUAGGAUCACCUGGGAAUAUCUGAAAACAACAUUGUUGCCUUGGCCCCAUCCCCAGAAUUUCUGAUUUAAUGGAUGGGGGGAAGGGGGUGUUUUCAAAGCUCUGCAGGUGAUUCUAAAGCUCAGAACAGUAAAGGCUUGGAACCGCUUCAGAGCAGCAUGUCUCAAACUUUAGGGUACAUAAAAAGUACCGUAAUAAUCUCCACUUAUUAAAGUGGAGAUCCUAAUUCAGUAGGAUUGGAGCAUAACGCCGUGCUGUUCAAAGUGCAGUCUGUGGACCAGUAGCAUUGGAACUACCUGGGUGCUUGUUAGGAAUGCAGAAUCCCAGGCCCACCUUGGACCUACUGAAUCUUUCUCUGGGGGGUGGUGCCCAACAAUCUAUGGAUCACACUGUCUUGGUGAUUCAUCAGUGUGCUAAAAUCUGAGACGCAUUUGCUCAGUGGUUUUCAAAUUUUGGUCUAGGCCAGACAUAUGAGUGUCACUUGGGGGCUUCUUAGAAAUGCAAAUUCUAAGGACUACAGAAUCUGAGUCUCUGGGGAUGGGGUGCAGAAGCCUGUGUUCUAAGCAGCCCUUCAGCACACUCAAGAUGUUGCGUCCAGUCGCUUCUAGUGCACCAGUCUGUGUAGCACUCGCAGUCCAUAGAUUAGAGAGGUCAAAGGAGGGAAGGUUCGCACCUUCCUCCUUGAGCUGCACCAGAAUUUCCUCGUUAAGGAAUUUCCUCGUUAAGCUGCACCAGAAGGCAUCCAGGAGGCCAGGCCGCUUGUCGGUCUAUCUGGAGUUCAGAUUUAUCGAAGGCAAACAGUCCUCUAACCUCCAUCUGGAGCACCCUCUGGGACAGUCAAAUCCUACCCUUUGGGGUAAGAAAUUGGCUUCCCCAGGCUCUGCCCCAGUAUUAAUCCUGCUUUGCUUGGUGCGCACCAUUCCCAAAAAGCUUUCCACUUCCCACCUCAUCUGUUCUUUACGACCCUGCCAGGUAAGCAGUUAUCAACCCCAUCUUAGAAAGGAGGAAUCGGAGGGGGAAGGAGAUUCAGCCACAGCUGACAGAGGUCCUGGCCUCCUUCUAUUUGUCCCAGGGACAAUGUCUGUCCAUAUCUGCAUUUGUCCUGGCUUCUCUCUCUGACACACACACACACGCUUCUUCCAGUGGCUUCUGGAAAAAAGAAUAAGCCCCAGAGUGAAGAGCUACCAGCCACCAGCUGAAUGUUUGGGCACUUGAAUUUCAAUCUAUGUUUCUGGGCUGUGCUGCUUUGGACCCGUGGUUCUGGAGCUGGGCUGGGUCCCCUGAACCUGUGGACAUCUGGCAGCCUAAUGCUGGGCUGAGUCCCAGGCAUGAGGGAGGCCAGAAGGAUAGGGCAGAUUGGGUGAGAGGGGAGAUAGUGAAGAGCCAACAAGGACAGAGGGAGGGCUGAAGCCAGAGGCCCCAGAUGGGCCGGCUUGGCAAAGGAGGGCCUGGGAUGCAAUCCGCCGGCAGGCUGGGGCUGGAGAGGCACUGUUCUUGAAGAGCCUCAGGCCUGCUCUAUUAAUUCUAGCUCCUUUGGUUUUGGAAUUGAUUUCCCUGAGGGGUCUCCUUAGCCCUGGAAACCUCCCUCAGGGGCUUGGCUGGUAAAGCUGCUGAAGUCUGGAGGGGAAUAUACAAGCUGAGCAGGGCAGGGACAGCCGGCCUGGCUGUCAAUAUCAAGGCAAUGCAGGGCUGGCAUCUUGUUUGUGAAACGGGUCCCUUAGGCGGGCUCCCCCGGGGAGCCCCAGCUCUUCACAGACCAGCUGCUCCCCGCUGCCGGCUGGUGCAAUCAGAGUCUGAGAAGCAGAGCCAUAGCAGGCAAGAGCCCACCUGGAGGUACCCAGCGUAGAGCUGCUGCACGUGGACACUCCACAACCCAAGGACGCUGUUAGUGAAAAAACUGAGGAGUUGGGGGAGGGAGCAGAGGCAGGGGUGGGGGACAUUUUCCAGGGCCUACCCCAGAUGGGUCAGGCGGCUGUUCCCUGAGAGCCUCAUAUCCUGACAUCACGCCACGCCCAGCUGAGAGGUAUACAGACCCCCAGAGGUUCACUAACAGGGUUCAGAGAAAGCGCUCCUCUGACAACUUUAAUCUUGGUUCCCAGUGUCGGACCCUGUUGAUUUUAAUGGGCCAAGACCCAAUCGUUUUGAUAAAUCCUAUGAUUACCUUAUAGCAUUGUAACUGUUGUGUCAUUUAUAUAAACACUUAAUAUACAUCACAUAUUUUGUGACCCUAUUUCAGCAUGUGUUUCACUUUGGUAUUGCAGGACCUCUCAUGCAGCCGCCCAGGGCCAGUUGCCCAGGUUCCCGUUCAUCUCUGAGAGGUGCUGCUGUUCUAAAUUUCCUCCCCAUUCCCUAAACCAGGGACAAACAAAUGAGCAGUGACCCGUGCCCUGGAAGAGCCUGCCUGGGCACUGCAGUCUGGCCCUGAGUGGUCCUCAGUGUUGUGUGGGCUUGGAGAAGACUUCUGCCAGGUCACUGGGUUUCAGAGGGCGAGGAUGGGAGCCUGCGUAGAGCCAUCCUCAGCCCUUUGUGGCCUCUGUUGUUAUUUUCAAAAUCCUCAGGGUCCACAUAGAUAAGGAACAGGACUCAGUCCCUGUGAGAGGCUUUGAGCACCCCCUACGUCACCUGGGCCACUUGGAGGUGGACAGAAGCCCAGAAGAGUAUAGGCAGAUCCCCCCACCUGGAGACAUAUACAUAUUUCUUACAAGGGAAGAAAAGGUGUCUAUCACAUUGUUUUCUUCUUAUAUCUUUAUUUAUUUAGUUAGUUAUUUUUUUAAAGAUAGGGUCUGGCUCUGU